rnacentral:rRNA from 1 species
UACGGAGGGUGCAAGCAUUGAUCGGAAUUACUGGGCGUAAAGGGCGCGUAGGCGGCCAGAUAAGUCAGAUGUGAAAUUCCGCGGCUCAACCGCGGAACUGCAUUUGAAACUAUCCGGCUAGAGCAUAGUUAGGGAAAACGGAAUUCCACGUGUAGCGGUGAAAUGCGUAGAUAUGUGGAAGAACACCGGUGGUGAAGACGGUUUUCUGGGCUAUUGCUGACGCUGAGGCGCGAAAGCUAGGGGAGCAAACAGG